AUGGAUAAUGACUGCGGAAAGGAUUGCAUUUGGAAUGUAAUAGAAAGCAUCAGUUAAACAAUAUAAAGAAAGAAUGACAACAGCAGCAGUAAAGAUACCAGCAAUAGGUGUUUUUACUCCUGCUUUGGCUUUAAUGGCCGAACGAGAAAAGGAUCCUGUAGCUGGAUAGGCAUUGAAAAAUAUACCUAUUAGAUUAGUUACGCCCAUUGCAAUCAAUUCCUGGUCUGGAACAAUUCGGUAGUCAUUGACUCGACCAAAUGAUUUGGCAAUAGAAAUAUGCUCAAGCAGUAAUACAAUUACUGAGACUGGAAGCUCACUCGCCAAAUCACGACAUAAUUUUUUAGUAAUAAGCGGAACACCAACAUGCUGAAAUCCUCUAGGAACUGUUUUGAUGAUAGAAAUAGGAGGAUCUGAGCGAUGAUGUUUGCAUAUCGCGUAAGAAAUGGCUGUACCAACGAUAACAACCACCGCGCUUCGUAAAGUGUUAGUUAAGAAAAAAGCUUGCUGCCAUCUAGGAUAUCUCUUCCCCAAAUAUUGGCACAUAUAUUUUGUAAAAAACAAAAUAAACAAACUGACUAAUCCAAAAGCAGCGUCUACCGUAGUAUCUGGUAAAUGUUUUAACGAUUGGAUAAUAACCAUAUAAGUAGCUUUAGCAGUGACUUUAUUUUUAUAUCCCAUUAAAGCUGGAACCUGACCGGACAAGAUGUUUAAUGCUGAACCUGUAGUAAAUCCCGCGACAGCUGGAACUGGAAUGAAUUCAAUAAUAAACCCUAGCCUCAAUAAACCUAUUCCACAAGUAAUAGCUCCGGCUAGCAAAGCAAGACAUGUGGCUAUUUGUGGUGCUGUAUAUGUUUCGUCUUUAGCCAUAACGUUAGCUAUUACUUUAGCGGUAAUUAAACUCAUAACAGCGACAGGUCCAAUGGAAACGUCUUUUGAGGUUGCGAAAAAGCAAUAUAUAGCAACACCAACAAAUGAAGAAUAUAACCCGUAUUCAGAUGGAAGGGUUGCGACUUUGGCGUAAGACAUUCCUUGGGGAACAACAACGCAUCCAACGGUAAUGCCAGCAAUAAGAUCAUUUAUUAACCAGUAAGGAUUGUAGUUUGGAAGCCAUUCAAUGAUAGGAAAUAAUGAUUUGAGAUAAUGUAAGAAAUUUUUGAAAAUAUUGCUUGUGACAUUUUUUUUGAACCAUUGAGGUAUACUGGCAAGUUCGUCUAACUCAUCAUCUUCAGGAAUUUCGUAAUAAGCUUUUACACGAGAAAUAGUCCUACCGAAAGUAGUAGUUUGCGCAUUCUGAAAUUGUGCGUUAUUUUGGGUAUAAUCGUUAUGAUCAUUCUGAGAAUUGUCAAAUUCAUUAAAGCGAUCAGGAUAGUCCUUGUUUGACGCACCAUCGUUAUAAUCAUCUUCUGAAGAGAAUUUAUUACGAACCCAACCCCAAGCGCGCAUUGUUAAAAUGUUUUUUGCAGUCUUCUAGGCUCGAUUCUGUUUUGGUUUUCAGAGAAAUAUGAAGGAAUCAAUAAAUUAGAUACCCUCUCUUGAAGAAGUUUAUUGAAAAGAUAUGAGAUAAAGCAAUUA
rnacentral:lncRNA from 1 species